rnacentral:lncRNA from 1 species
CAGUCUCUCUCCUAAUAUCAUCACACUCUGUAGGACUUGUGGCCGCAGGAUUCCCCCAGGUUUCACUUGCCCGUGAACACAUCCUCUCCCCAUAAGAAACUAAAAUUCUACUCAGUAUGCAUACACCCAAACCGUAACUAGCUCUCAUUAUAUAUAUAUAUAUAUAUAAGUCAUUAUAUAUAUAUAUAUAUAUAACUUUGUCACUCAUUAUAUAUAUAUAUAUAUAUAAGUCAUUAUAUAUAUAUAUAUAUAUAACUUUGUCACUUUUACUUUCUUCCAAUAAUUCAAUAAAACAUUAAUAAAGUUGUAGUGGCCUAUCCAUUGUGUUUUUUAUUUUUGUUCUUUGACCACACAAAACCAUUGGUGGUUAUAGAUAUCUCUAUGGAAGAAACCAUUAUAAACAACUUGAUACAUACGUAAACUCAAAUCGCAAACAAAAUGAUUUUAUAUUCUAAUGUCUUUCUCUCUUGAUCUCUGCUGCAAUAAAUCCUCACUACUCUUCUAUAUGGAGCACAUGAAUUUGCAACCUUAGAGACUGAAAGGACAAUCGGUAAUAAAAAACAAAAUAAUAAUCCAGGAUUAAUUUAGUUGGAUUAGCACAUGCAGUUUAUAAAUCCUCUGUGGGAUCUGGCCGUCGGCAUCCCUUACUUACUUGAAUUUUUUAGUUUUAGUUUUCGUUUUGCAAAGUUAAAUUCAAAUUAAUUUAUUUUUCUUAUUUAGAUAAAAAGGUACAAAUAAAUGUCGAUUUUGAUUUUUGAUAACUUAAUUUUGAUCUUAACCACAAAACUUAAUAUUUAGUUGAGUGGAUGAUACACAUAACACAAAUUACGUCCAUGAUACGUUAACCGUACGUGGGUUGCUUCUCGAAUAGAAGCUCUACAAAUAGGAAGACAAUUAAUGUCACUUAAUCUGUAUAUUUACACAUUUGUUUUUGUUAUAACGCAAACGGUGAAACAUACUUCCUCCGUUUUAAUAAGUGUUAUUCUGACACAUUUCACACAGAUUAAAAAAUUAAUAAAAUAUAUAAAUAUACACUUAAUUAAUAUACACUUAAUUAAUAUAUUUUUAUAACAUUUAAUUACAAAGAUUAUUAUCUUUAAAUGAUAGAUAAAACAGGAAAUAAUAGUAAAAAAUUACAUUGAAAAUGUAGAAUGACAUUCUUUUUAAAACAAAAAAUGAAAUCUAAAACAAUACUUAUUAUGAAACGGAAGAAUCAGUAGAUUUAUGAAAACAUUGUGUCUACUGAUUCCAAUGUUUUCUUUGAUUACUAUAAUCAAUACUAAUAUGUAUCGGUUGCAUGAAAUGAUUAUACAAAUCACAUUAAAAAUAAAAAUGAUAUUAAUAUCUGUAACGAACGACUAUAAUCAAUACUAGGCAUGGGCACGGGACGAAUACUUGCCAUUUUUGGUAUACUUGAUACUUGACUUGCCCCGUUCAAGUAUCAAGAUAUUUGUACUUGUACUUGACUUGUUAAUAUCAAGUACUUGCAAUUUCAAGUACUUGCCAAAUUUUUCAUUACUUGCAAGUUACUUGGCUUGUCCUCUUACUUGUAAAAGUACAAAUAGAAUACUAAAAAACCUAAAAUUUUGAGCCAUAUUUAAUUAAAACCUACGAUAAUAUUUAAUAUUUUGACCUUUAGAUUUUUGGAAAGCUUUAGAUAUUGAAGUCUGGCAACUUAUUUGUCUUUUGAUAAGCAGACUCUUCUUUCAUUUUUUGUGUUGUAAUCGAUGUGGAACAAAAUUAAAAAAAAAUCAGAGAUUAGAAACGAGUAACGGGUCAAUAAAACCAAGUAGUAACUUUUUUUUUAAUACUUGAUACUUGCCUUAUACUUACAAGUAAUCUUCUUAAUAUAUUUGAUACUCGACUUGAUCAAAACAAGUACUUGGUUUUACGGGACCAGUACAGGUCAAAUAACGAGUACGAAACGAGGAACGAGUACCAAGUAAUUGUGCCCAGUCCUAAUCAAUACUACUGAUUCCACAGAGUGUGUCAGUAUCAGUCACAAGGAGGAGGACGAGAUUGUCCUGGUUAAAGACGAAAGUACCCCCAAGAGUUGCCGGAUUGAUAUGGAAGAUGAUGACAAAUGAUUGACAAUGACACUUGCGCGCGGAAUGUAUUUCUACUGCACAGGAUGAUGAAGAGUGGUCGGCUUUGGAUGGAUUGACCAGGGUUAACAGUCUCUUGAGCAUUCCAAGGUUCUUCUCUGGUGAGCUAAGAUCAAAUAGUUGGAGAAAAUGGUUUUGAUUUUUUUUUUCUUUCUUUGACUUGUGUGAUCGCGAACAAAAACACUUGAUACUAUCACCAAGUUCUUUGUUUUCAUAUUCAACUUUUUCUUCUACUUUUUUUUUUGGAAUUUCUUUGCAUAUAUAUAAUGUUUUUCUCUUGUGUUUCUAUAACAUGUCAAACUGUUCACAGUACAGAUAUAAUUCAUCAAAGAAAGUUUUGUCUAUAUCGACCAAGAAACUAUUGAUAUCGGAUACUUUCAUCCUUCUCUGUUCUUCAUUACUUUGAUUUGUAGAAGUGAAAAAGAAAUGAUCUUUCAAUACUAAUUAUGUAUUUUUAAUUUAUUAUGUCAUCGUACAUAUUUUUAAUAAAUUUAUGAUCAUUAUUACAAUUUAAAAUUUUAUUACUUAAAUAACUAAUUAUUGUUACUAUAUAAUUUUACUUAAGUAUACAGUUAAAACAUAUAAUUUUAUUUAAGUAUAAAAUAGAAGCAUCCUUUUUUUUUUGACAUCAAAUAGAAGCAUCCUAAUUGAGAAAUUUCGUUCAUAAAUAAAAAAGUUGUACUCUAAAAUUGGAAAAAUGAAUAGCAUAACUCCAAAAUUAUUAUUAUUCUUUUUUAAUGGAGAUGAUUUGAGUUUUUGGGGUUGUGGCAAGACCUACUUAUUAUUGAACUAUUUUGGUAAUUGUCAAUAUUGUGUACUAAUUUUAUUUUAUUUUUAGUGGUGAUAAUUUGAUUGGUUUUUAUUUUAGCGCCUAACCAUAUUCUUUUUUUCCACUAACUUAGUAAAACUCUCUUCCUUCCAUAUAUUUUACUUGGUUGAUGACUAUUUAUAACUUUAGCUAACGUUAUAAAUAGACUAUCUAAUAAUAAGUAAAUGUAAAACGUUUUCUAAUAUCCACACGUAAUUAUUAUAUAAGUACACACAACACUGAUGAGUUUAUUACUUUAAAAAUUUUAUCUUCUAUAAUAAUAAAAAAAAAAAACACAAAAUGAAUCAGAUCAUAGUUCUGCUCAUAGUUAUAGCUAUGCAUUUUGGGUUGAAUGAAAGUUGUCCAGACCAUCGUGUGGUGAUUACUAACCAACUCGGUAAAGGUCGUGCUCUCCAAUAUCGUUGCACUGGCUCACAUGAUGGCUCGAAUACUGGUAUCCGAACUUUAGCCAAGUUCAAUCAGAGUUAUCAAUUUCUGUUUCGCGAUUGGCCGACUAGUUGGACUGAUGAGCAAAAUAGAUCACGUUUUGUCUGUGAUUUAAGCUGGGGACCUCAAAAUGAGAACCGUGCUGAUAAUAUUGAAGUAUACCGAGCAGCCAUGAAUCGUAGAUGUGGCCUGCUACGUCAGUAUAUUGCCAGGGAAGAUGGCUUUUAUUAUAGAAGCGCAUAUAACGUACCAGUAGGGUGGGUUCGCGGUUGGACCAAAAAGUAAGAGCAUCAUUAUCCCUACCACCCAUUAAGAGUUUUUUAAGAGUUUUUUAUUAUUAAAAUUAGAUUAAGAAACCUUCUUAAAAAAUAUUAUGAUUGUAAUGGUACAUUGCUAAUACCCUAAUGGGUUUCUUAUAUAAUUUUUUUUUAAAGUAAACAUAGUUAUUUAAUUAUAACAUUCAAAAGAAAUACACAACUCACACAUACAAAUUUUAUUUGUAAACAUAAUUAAAACAAAGUAAAAGCUCAAUAAUCGUCUUGGCUAUCUCCAAAUUUUUGCCAUAUAUGCUCAACCAAAUCCGACUUCAAUUGGUGAUGCACUUGUGGAUUCCGAACUCUUUUUCGAGUAUCCAUCAUAUUAGUAAUGUUUGAUGGCAUAUCGGUUGAGAACGUGUCAUCCACAUUUCUAUUUUCAUUUUCUUCUCCUUGUUGGAAGUCUGAAACAUCAAGCAGAUUAUAUCUAUCUCUUUCGUCUUCUACUAUCAUAUUGUGUAAUAUGAUACAAGCUCUCAUAAUCUUUCCUAUUUUUGCCUUAUCCCAAAAAAGAGCUGGGUUUUUAACAAUAGCAAAUCGAGCUUGUAAGACUCCAAAAGCACGUUCCACAUCUUUUCGGAUACAAUUUGUGGUGUCAAAUAAAAGUAAGAAAGUUACAAAGUCAUGUGGUGUCAAAUUAAAAAUAAGAAAGUUAAAAAGAUACAAAGCUGGUGUCCAUGUUCUUCUCUCCUUUCGCUCUGCAGCCGGCUCUUCACCAAGGCUCAUAGCUGUUCCACAGAAGACGCUGUCCUGCUGACUGUUUAGGAGAUCGACGAAGUUUGAAGGCUGAGAGUAAGGAGUCGAAGAGAAAUCCAUAGAAAAAAUAGACAAGAGAAUGAACGAGGAAAGGGAAGGAGAAGAAUGAACGAGUAGGAGGAGAGAAACAAAAUGAUAAGAAGGAAAGAGAACUAGAUGAUGCAACGAGAAGAAGGAGAAGAACUAGGAAAGAAACCAAUAGAAUGAACAAGGAAAAGAUUCAUGAAGCACCUCGCAGAUAUAGGGAGUGAAGGACAACCGAUUAAAUGGAGAAGAAGAACCAUUCUUAAUGGUUCUCCAUUGAUUACUAACCAUUAUAAAAACCCUUUCUAACCACAUAGAAAAGACAUGUACCUAACACUAAUAUAGCAUUCAUCAAGCAACCAUUAAUGACUAACCAUAACUUUGCAUUUAUCUACCAUUAUCUAACACUAACUUUUCAUUUAUUACCAACUUAAAAGGUUUGAAGACUAACCUGAAGAGAUGCAAUGACAAGACGAGAUGGUAGAUGUGAUGCGGAACCACCGUUAUCAUCUCCUUUCUCUGCAUUAAAAAAAAGACACACCAUUAGCCAUUACUGAAAACAAAACAGAGUAAAUAGAAAAACCCAAAACCUGAAUCACAACUAGUAAAGAAACUAGCAAACACUUGAACUCUGAAUCACAAAAACUAAAAAACCUAUAAACUCAAAACAACUAGUACAUAAACUAGCAAACAAUUGAUGUUUACAUACUCGAUCAAUUCUACAUUUCGAUUAACAAUAACUCCAUUGACAACUUUACAUAUUUCCUAAACCUGCAUCACAAAAUAUCAACAAGACACUCUAAAUUUGUCAAUGAAAACAGCAUUUAAACCCAUCGAUUACAUAAAUAAAUUCAUAAAAUGAGUUCACACAAUCCAUCAAUUACAUAAUGUUAUCAUCGAUCCCUAACUCAGUCGACGCUUAAAUAGGAGAAAAAUUCAUAAUCAAAACGAUCUAAAAGCUCCAAUAAACUAUUCUAGAAAGCAAAUCGAAGGUAAAUCGGAAAUAUCAAAUAACUAGAGGGGAUGAUUUUGUUACCUCGGAGAUAACGAAGAAAGUGAUCGGGAUAAAGGGAAAAGAGAAGCCCAGGCGUCGUAGGCGUCUCCACCCGGAGGAGACAGGCCUCUCGCCGGAUAUUUCGCCGGAGAUGAUGACGAUCACUCGAUGAAGACGAUUUCGUACUCAGUUUUUUUGAUGCAUCAAGGGUUGGUGCAAAGAAGAGGAAAUGGUCGAGACUUGGAUUUUUUUUAGCCGAAAAAUGAAAUUUUAGCCGAGAAUUUUUUUGUGGGGAUCACAAUGCGCCACGUUAGCAACAAAAAUCGAUUCUUGUAGUUCCAGAAUAAGAGCCGAUUUUAUUUCUUUUUGGGCUUGAACCAAUAUUAAAACAAUAUAUUGGAAUAAGAAACACACACCAGUCAUCGCGAUAAUGAUGGUCUAAUGCUUAAAUAAUUUAUUCCUAAGAUUUAUUUUAAAAUAGAUUUAUAUUAAACCGAUGAAGCAUAAUACUUCAAUCGGAUUUUUUUUUUGAUGUAAGUUUUUCUUUUUUUUUCUAAAUUUUUUACAAUGCUGGACGUUUAUUUUGCAUCUUAUGAACUAAUCAAUAAGAUCUCUAUGCGAUGUAAUGUAUAACCAAAUAUAAUAAUAAUAUAUGAUUUCUAUGAAUGUAUAUUGUUUCAAUAAAUCAUAUCAAUAUAUAUAUAUAUAUAUAAUUUUAUUGUGUACUACUAAUUCAGUUUUUUUUUUCUUUUUCUUGUCGUCGUUGUGUAUAACAGUUAAAUUAAAUAUAAUAAUAAAAAAUCUAGACCCUUCCACUGUUGUCGCAUAUUGAUGAAAGAAGGUUACUUUGAUUUGAAAACAGAGCUUAAGGGGGUAACUUAAUUUAUGUAAUUGGAAAUGAUUAUGUUUGUACUCGAAUGUUUGGAGAUGUAUCACUCAAAUGUUUUAAUAAUUAAAGUAUUUUGAGAAAAAAAAGAGAGACAGUAAUAAUGUACGAACCGUUAAGUUGACUUGGAAGAGAAGGGAAAUUAAUUGAAAACAAACGAAACCCAAAUUUUUCGGUGCCAUUCGUGUUCCUAUUGGCAAACUUCCACACACAAGAAACUAAAAUUCUUGUGUGUGAACACUUCCUUUCCCCACAAGAAACUAAAAUUCUACUCAGUAUGUAUACACUCAAACCGUAACUAGCUCUCAUUACCCAUAUAUAUAGAGCUUUGUCACUUUUACUUUCGUCCAAUAAUGCAAUCAAAAACAUUAAUAAAAAGUUUGUAGUGGCAUUUCCAUUGUGUCUUUAUUUUUGUUCUUUGACUACACAAAACCAUUGGAGGUUAUAGAUAUCGCUAUGGAAGAAACCAUUAUAAACAACUUGAUACAUACGUAAACUCAAAUCUCAAACAAAAUGAUUUCAUAUUCUAAUGUCUUUCUCUCUUGAUCUCUGCUGCAAUAAAUCCUCACUACUCUUCUAUAUGGAGCACAUGAAUUUGCAACCUUAGAGACUGAAAGGACAAUCGGUAAUAAAAAACAAAAUAAUAAAAAACGUUUCAGUCUCUCUCCUAAUAUCAUCACACUCUGUAGGACUUGUGGCCGCAGGAUUCCCCCAGGUUUCACUUGCCCGUGAACACAUCCUCUCCCCAUAAGAAACUAAAAUUCUACUCAGUAUGCAUACACCCAAACCGUAACUAGCUCUCAUUAUAUAUAUAUAUAUAUAUAAGUCAUUAUAUAUAUAUAUAUAUAUAACUUUGUCACUUUUACUUUCUUCCAAUAAUUCAAUAAAACAUUAAUAAAGUUGUAGUGGCCUAUCCAUUGUGUUUUUUAUUUUUGUUCUUUGACCACACAAAACCAUUGGUGGUUAUAGAUAUCUCUAUGGAAGAAACCAUUAUAAACAACUUGAUACAUACGUAAACUCAAAUCGCAAACAAAAUGAUUUUAUAU